rnacentral:lncRNA from 1 species
GGGGAGCACCUCAGGGUUUGCCCAGGCAACCAGCCAGCCCUGGUCCAAGGCAUCCUGGAGCGAGUUGUGGAUGGCCCCGUGCCCCACCAGACAGUGCGCCUGGAGGACCUGGACGAGAGCGGUGAGCCCCAGGCUGGGGAGCCAGUGCUGCCUGGCAUCCUCCGGCCACCCUACCUGGCUGAGGGGCUGGGCCUGGGCCUGCCGGUGACAGCCAUCC